rnacentral:rRNA from 1 species
CCUACGGGAGGCUGCAGUGGGGAAUAUUGCACAAUGGGGGAAACCCUGAUGCAGCGACGCCGCGUGAGUGAAGAAGUAAUUCGUUAUGUAAAGCUCUAUCAGCAGGGAAGAAAAUGACGUUACCUGUGUAAGAAGCCCCGGCUAACUACGUGCCAGCAGCCGCGGUAAUACGUAGGGGGCAAGCGUUCUCCGGAUUUACUGGGGGAAAAGGGAGCGUAGACGGCAGUGCAAGUCUGGAGUGAAAGGCGGGGGCUCAACCCCCGGACUGCUCUGGAAACUGUACGGCUGGAGUGCAGGAGAGGUAAGUGGAAUUCCUAGUGUAGCGGUGAAAUGCGUAGAGAUUAGGAGGAACACCAGUGGCGAAGGCGGCUUACUGGACGGUAACUGACGUUGAGGCGCGAAAGCGUGGGGAGCAAACAGGAUUAGAUACCCGUGUAGUC